UACGUAGGUGGCAAGCGUUGUCCGGAUUUACUGGGCGUAGAGGGCGUGCAGGCGGUCUGUUAAGUGCAGGGUGAAAGCUCCCGGCUCAACUGGGAGAGGUCCUCGCAUACUGGCGGACUUGAGGGGGGUAGAGGAAAGUGGAAUUCCCGGUGUAGUGGUGAAAUGCGUAGGUAUCGGGAGGAACACCAGUGGCGAAGGCGACUUCCUGGCCUGUUCUUGACGCUGAGGCGCGAAAGCUAGGGUAGCAAACGGG
rnacentral:rRNA from 1 species